GUGAAUUUGGUGGAUUUUGGGGGGAUUUUGGGGGAUUUUGGGGUGAAUUUGGGGGAUUUUGGGGAGAUUUUGGGGGAUUUUGGGGAGAUUUUGGGGAUUUUGGGGAGAUUUUGGGGGAUUUUGGGUGAAUUUUGGGGAUUUUGGCUCUCCCCCGCAGGCGCCUGGCGGGCGGUGCUGGAGCGGGUGCAGGAGGCGCGAGCGAGCGCCCGCCUCAGGCAGCUGAGCUUCGCAGGUGAGCCGAAAUCUCCCCAAAAUCACCCAAAAUCAGCCAAAAUCACCCAAAAUCAACCAAAAUCACCCCAAAAUCACCUAAAUCAGCCAAAAUUACCCCAAAAUCACCCCAAAAUCACCCCAAAAUCAACCAAAAUCAGCCAAAAUCAGCCAAAAUCACCCAAAAUCAGCCAAAAUCACCCAAAAUCACCCAAAAUCACCCAAAAUCAGCCAAAAUCACCCCAAAAUCAACCAAAAUCAGCCAAAAUCAGCCAAAAUCACCCCAAAAUCAGCCAAAUUUACCCAAAAUUACCCAAAAUCAGCCAAAAUCAACCAAAAUCAGCCAAAAUCUCCCAAAAUCACCCCAAAAUCAACCAAAAUCAACCAAAAUCAGCCAAAAUCACCCCAAAAUCACCCCAAAAUCAGCCAAAAUCACCCAAAAUCAGCCAAAAUCACCCCAAAAUCAGCCAAAAUCAGCCAAAAUCAACCAAAAUUACCCCAAAAUCAGCCAAAAUCACCCAAAAUCACCCCAAAAUCAGCCAAAAUUACCCAAAAUCAACCAAAGUCAGCCAAAAUCACCCCAAAAUCACCCCAAAAUCAGCCAAAAUCACCCCAAAAUCACCCCAAAAUCUCCCAAAAUCAGCCAAAAUCAGCCAAAAUCUCCCAAAAUCACCCAAAAAUCACCCAAAAAUCAGCCAAAAUCACCCCAAAAUCACCCAAAAUCACCCAAAAAUCACCCAAAAUCAGCCAAAAUCACCCAAAAUCACCCAAAAUCACCCAAAAAUUCCCCCAAA
rnacentral:lncRNA from 1 species